AGCGAACGCUGGCGGCAGGCUUAACACAUGCAAGUCGAGCGGGCAUCCUUGUGGUGUCAGCGGCAGACGGGUGAGUAACGCGUGGGAACGUGCCCUUCGGUUCGGAAUAACUCAGGGAAACUUGAGCUAAUACCGGAUACGUGCGAGAGCAGAAAGGUUUAUCUGCCGAAGGAUCGGCCCGCGUCUGAUUAGCUAGUUGGUGAGGUUACGGCUCACCAAGGCGACGAUCAGUAGCUGGUCUGAGAGGAUGAUCAGCCACACUGGGACUGAUACACGGCCCAGACUCCUACGGGAGGCAGCAGUGGGGAAUAUUGGACAAUGGGGGCAACCCUGAUCCAGCCAUGCCGCGUGAGUGAUGACGGCCUUAGGGUUGUAAAGCUCUUUUCUCCGGGACGAUAAUGACGGUACCGGAGGAAUAAGCCCCGGCUAACUUCGUG
rnacentral:rRNA from 1 species